GCCUUCGUGGUGUAAUGGUCAGCACACUGAGCCGGUAAUUCAGAAGUCCGUGCUUCGAUCCCCGGCGAAGGCA
rnacentral:tRNA from 1 species